UCAUGUCUUCAGCUACGCGCCAUCGUCGCCUCUCAACCUCCAACCUUCAACCGAUUCCUCUAAACACCCUUUCACCUUGCAAUCAAACCUCUAAACGCAUUCUUGUCACGUAUCUAAAUCAUCCUUCAUGCCAACGCCAUCACGGUAAUUGCUCCGCAACCUCAAGGUGCCAUGGAAGCCUCUGAAACUCAUAAUCGAUCUCUGCAAACUAUGUCAUCUCCAUUUCGAAUUCAACAGCCAUGAAAACACGUGGAAGCUCAAGCACGGUAGAGUCGAACGAAAGAGGAGAACUCAUUUAGAAAGAAAAACGCAUCGAAAGUGUUUACAGAUUACGUACCGGAAUCUGACACGGUUCCGACGUCGUAAACGGUUUCACAGGCCCAUGGAUCUUCAAUUUGUGCCAUACUGUUUGGAACGUAAUAGCUUGAAGGAGCCUUGGCCAUGACUUAAUUGGAAUAUGGAUGUUCCAAGAAUUGCUUGGACUUGAAGAAAUGGUCCAUGAAUUAGGAUAUUAGGAGUUAAAACAUGCUAUGUUAAUUUGUAAUUGCUUCUUUUGAUUUGCUCUUUGUAAUAUGCAAUGUAAGGCCAUGGAUUUUAUGUACAUGAAUAUUGAAAAUUGAAUGAAAAGAAAUGGAAAGUUUGAUGGAGUAAA